rnacentral:lncRNA from 1 species
GUAAAGGUCUGGAGAAGUGGAGCAAGGCUAAGAACACACAAAGACAUGGAAGUACAGCUGUGUUGCCUCCACAGGAAAAAUAAAAUGAGGUGGGAAGAGAGACAAGGAGAGCUCUGUGCCUGCCCAGGGAGCCAAGGCUGGCAUCUGCACCAUCCCAGCAAAGGAAGAAGCACUGCUGCUGCCUGGGGAAUUUCCUCUUGGAGCCUCUGCCUUGAACUCUCACUCCCUGUCCCUGUGGACACACAACAAAUUCGGGAGGGAAUGGCAAAGGGAGCAGCUCAGCUCCAGGGACAGCUUCGUGGAGACCAGAAACAGACAUUGUUUCAAAAAUAGGAUGAUCCAUUUUUGACAUGAAAAAGUCUCCCUGCUCCAUCUUGGCUUGUGCAUAAAAUUAUCUUGGGUGUUUUUUUUUUUUCACUCUGUCUCCUCCUCAUCAGAAAAAAAAAAAUCUCACCCCAGGCUAUUUUGAAGCUCCGGCAUGUUCCUUUUCAUUCAUAUUUUUCAGUGUACUACAGGAACAUUUGCACUUCUGAAACCUCCUCGCUGAAAUGUGUGAACUGCUCUCCACCGAAAGGGAAACCUGAAUUUCCCUGCAUCAUUUCCAUUUGUCCUGUUUUGAGGUGAAGUAGUAAAGGAGAACGCCCGAGGCACUGCCAGAACCGAGCAGUGGGUGUGGAAAUCACAGCAUCAUUCAGGCUGGAAAAAACCUCCAGAAACAUCAGGACUGCUUCAGUGGGGGUUUGCAGAGGAGCAGAAAUGUGGAGAUGCUCUGGAGCCACCACAAAGAGCAGCCUGGGGAGCACCCAGGCUUGAGGGGGGACAAAACUGAGGGAGGAGAUCUGGGGGAGCUUUGGUGAGGAGACAGAAAUGAGAGGGAGGAAGGAGCUGUGACAUGCCACGAGCAAAGACCCCAGUGACCAAAGUUUUGUGGAGGCUUGGUCAGCUCCCACCAGCUCUCUGUUUUCUCCACCUAGUGCAUUCAACCCCUUUUUUUUAGUGAUAUAAAAUACAGGACUAUUUCUGUCCCAGUAACCACAGCCUCGAACGAGUAGUGCUGCGAAGAGAUUGCACAGAUUUUAAUCCAUGUAAUCAUCCUUAACCUUUCCUGCCUGGUAAAUUGCUUCAUUUCCUUUCAUUCAUGUAUCUCAAUUGAUUUCAUGUAAAUAUAUACUUUUCU